UACGAAGGGUCCAAGCGUUGUUCGGAAUCAUUGGGCGUAAAGCGCGCGCAGGCGGAUCAGCAAGUCAGGUGUGAAAUCUCGAGGCUCAACCUCGAAACUGCGCCUGAAACUGCUAGUCUAGAAUGUCGGAGGGGGUAGGGGAAUUUCACGUGUAGGGGUAAAAUCCGUAGAGAUGUGAAGGAACACCGGGGGCGAAGGCGCCUACCUGGACGACUAUUGACGCUGAGGCGCGAAAGCGUGGGGAGCGAAACAGG
rnacentral:rRNA from 1 species